rnacentral:rRNA from 1 species
CCUACGGGGGGCUGCAGUGGGGAAUAUUGGACAAUGGGGGGAACCCUGAUCCAGCCAUGCCGCGUGUGUGAAGAAGGCCCCCGGGUUGUAAAGCACUUUCAGUGAGGAAGAACGCCUGGUGGUUAAUACCCAACAGGAAAGACAUCACUCACAGAAGAAGCACCGGCUAACUCCGUGCCAGCAGCCGCGGUAAUACGGAGGGUGCGAGCGUUAAUCGGAAUUACUGGCGUAAAGCGCGCGUAGGUGGCUUGAUAAGCCGGUUGUGAAAGCCCCGGGCUCAACCUGGGAACGGCAUCCGGAACUGUCAAGCUAGAGUGCAGGAGAGGAAGGUAGAAUUCCCGGUGUAGCGGUGAAAUGCGUAGAGAUCGGGAGGAAUACCAGUGGCGAAGGCGGCCUUCUGGACUGACACUGACACUGAGGUGCGAAAGCGUGGGUAGCAAACAGGAUUAGAUACCCGUGUAGUC